rnacentral:rRNA from 1 species
AGAGUUUGAUCAUGGCUCAGAGCGAACGCUGGCGGCAGGCUUAACACAUGCAAGUCGAGCGGGCGUAGCAAUACGUCAGCGGCGGACGGGUGAGUAACGCGUGGGAACAUACCUUUUGGUUCGGAACAACACAGGGAAACUUGUGCUAAUACCGGAUAAGCCCUUACGGGGAAAGAUUUAUCGCCGAAAGAUUGGCCCGCGUCUGAUUAGCUAGUUGGUGAGGUAACGGCUCACCAAGGCGACGAUCAGUAGCUGGUCUGAGAGGAUGAUCAGCCACAUUGGGACUGAGACACGGCCCAAACUCCUACGGGAGGCAGCAGUGGGGAAUAUUGGACAAUGGGCGCAAGCCUGAUCCAGCCAUGCCGCGUGAGUGAUGAAGGCCCUAGGGUUGUAAAGCUCUUUUGUGCGGGAAGAUAAUGACGGUACCGCAAGAAUAAGCCCCGGCUAACUUCGUGCCAGCAGCCGCGGUAAUACGAAGGGGGCUAGCGUUGCUCGGAAUCACUGGGCGUAAAGGGUGCGUAGGCGGGUCUUUAAGUCAGGGGUGAAAUCCUGGAGCUCAACUCCAGAACUGCCUUUGAUACUGAAGAUCUUGAGUUCGGGAGAGGUGAGUGGAACUGCGAGUGUAGAGGUGAAAUUCGUAGAUAUUCGCAAGAACACCAGUGGCGAAGGCGGCUCACUGGCCCGAUACUGACGCUGAGGCACGAAAGCGUGGGGAGCAAACAGGAUUAGAUACCCUAGUAGUCC